rnacentral:rRNA from 1 species
AUUGAACGCUGGCGGCAUGCCUUACACAUGCAAGUCGAACGGUAACAGGGAGCUUGCUCCGCUGACGAGUGGCGAACGGGUGAGUAAUGUAUCGGAACGUACCUUUUAGUGGGGGAUAACGUAGCGAAAGUUACGCUAAUACCGCAUAUUCUCUGAGGAGGAAAGCAGGGGACCUUCGGGCCUUGCGCUAAUAGAGCGGCUGAUAUCAGAUUAGCUAGUUGGUGAGGUAAAGGCUCACCAAGGCGACGAUCUGUAGGGGGUAUGAGAGGAUGGUCCGCCACACGGGAACGUGGACACGGUACAGACUCCUACGGGAGGCAGCAGUGGGGAAUUUUGGACAAGGGGGGCAACCCUGACCCAGCCAUGCCGCGUGAGUGAAGAAGGCCUUCGGGUUGUAAGGCUCUUUCGGCCGGGAAAAAAUCGCAGGGGUUAAUACCCUGUGUGGAUGAUGGUACCGGAAUAAGAAGCACCGGCUAACUACGUGCCAGCCGCCGCCGUAA